rnacentral:rRNA from 1 species
CCUACGGGUGGCAGCAGUGAGGAAUAUUGGUCAAUGGGCGCGAGCCUGAACCAGCCAAGUAGCGUGAAGGAUGACUGCCCUACGGGUUGUAAACUUCUUUUCUAAGGGAAUAAAGUGAGGCACGAGUCCCUUUUUGUAUGUACCUUAUGAAAAAGGAUCGGCUAACUCCGUGCCAGCAGCCGCGGUAAUACGGAGGAUCCGAGCGUUAUCCGGAUUUAUUGGGUUUAAAGGGAGCGUAGAUGGGUUGGUAAGUCAGUUGUGAAAGUUUGCGGCUCAACCGUAAAAUUGCAAUUGAUACUGGCAGGCUUGAGUACAGUUGAGGUAGGCGGAAUUCGUGGUGUAGCGGUGAAAUGCUUAGAUAUCACGAAGAACUCCGAUUGCGAAGGCAGCUUACUAAACUGACACUGACAUUGAUGCUCGAAAGUGUGGGUAUCAAACAGGAUUAGAUACCCUAGUAGUC